AGGAAUAAAUGGAAAACAUAUUAAAAAGAGGCUUAUGUCCAUCUGGAGGAGGAUUGACGUGCAUUUCCAAACUGGGAAGGCUGUGUUGUACCGUCCGGCCAGUUUUGCCUUCGGCUAUCCCUACACCUAAGAUGCCUGUGCAGAGUGAAAAUUGUCUGUGCGUCCUCAUCGCCCAGCUUUCUUUGGAAAGAAGCCUUAACCCUUGUUUUGGGCUGAGAGACCGAGAACAUCAAGGGAUCUCUAAAGCCAACAUCAUCAGGGCAGGAGCCCAGAUUUCUUCUCUCAGGGCCACAACUGCCUAAAAGCACGGUGAACACCAAUGUGGCUAUUUUAAAGGUUCAACAGGAUGUUGAACUGUAUCUCGCAGAACAGCUCAUGGAAAGGCAAGGCCCUCUGACACAAAACAACGUCACCGGCGAGGGAACCGUCAUGUCAGGGAAGGCGUCUGGAAGGUGAAACCAGGAAUAAACCAGGCACAUCAAGCUGUAUCACUUUGCAUGUCUGUUUUUUUAUUUCCACCCUUCUGUAGUACGGUUCACGAGUCUUAACAAGGAAAGAGCUUCUGUGCAAAAUUCAGUAAAUUCAAAAAAAAAAAUUAAAUAAAUAAAAGGCAAAUAACACAGCCCUGUGGGGAAAACCUGGAAUUGUAUUUCCAUAAUACAGGCCUUUCCCAGAAAAGCCAGGCAUGGGUCAGUGUGAAAUGCAACACCACACAUCUGCAAGGGAGUCUGCCGGUUCCUUCCAGCCUUUCCCAUUUUC